GACAGAGGGGGCAAGCGUUGCUCGGAAUUACUGGGCGUAAAGGGCGCGUAGGCGGGAUGGCAAGUCGGUCGUGAAAUCCCUCGGCUCAACUGAGGAUCGUCGAUCGAUACUGCCGUUCUUGAGGAUUGCAGAGGAGACUGGAAUUCCCGGUGUAGCGGUGAAAUGUGUAGAGAUCAGGAGGAACACCCGUGGCGAAGGCGGCCCCCUGGGUCGGCCCUGACGCUGAGGCGCGAAAGCGUGGGGAGCGAACGGG
rnacentral:rRNA from 1 species